rnacentral:rRNA from 1 species
GGAUUAGAUACCCUGGUAGUCCACGCCGUAAACGAUGUCUACUAGCCGUUGGGGUCCUUGAGACUUUAGUGGCGCAGUUAACGCGAUAAGUAGACCGCCUGGGGAGUACGGCCGCAAGGUUAAAACUCAAAUGAAUUGACGGGGGCCCGCACAAGCGGUGGAGCAUGUGGUUUAAUUCGAUGCAACGCGAAGAACCUUACCUGGUCUUGACAUAGUGAGAAUCUUUCAGAGAUGAGAGAGUGCCUUCGGGAAUUCACAUACAGGUGCUGCAUGGCUGUCGUCAGCUCGUGCCG